UAGUCAUAUGCUUGUCUCAAAGAUUAAGCCAUGCAUGUCUAAGUGUAAAUAAGUCUACACCGUGAAACUGCGAAUGGCUCAUUAAAUCAGUUAUCGUUUAUUUGAUGUUUCCUUACUACAUGGAUAACCGUAGUAAUUCUAGAGCUAAUACAUGCCCACAAAGCCCCGACGCAAGAAGGGGUGUAUUUAUUAGAUUCAAACCAACAUUUAACCCGGUGAUUCAUAGUAACUCUUUGUUUUCGAACCGCAUGGCCUUGCGCUGGCGGUGCUUCAUUCAAAUUUCUGCCCUAUCAACUUUCGAUGGUAGGAUAGUGGCCUACCAUGGUUUUAACGGGUGACGGGGGAUUAGGGUCUUAUCCCGGAGAGUAUGCCUGAGAGACGGCAAACACAUCCAAGGAAGGCAGCAGGCGCGCAAAUUACCCAAUCCCAACACGGGGAGGUAGUGACAAUAAAUACCAAUGCAGAGCCCACUGGGUUUUGCAAUUGGAAUGAGAACAAUUUAAAUCCCUUAACGAGGAUCCAUUAGAGGGCAAGUCUGGUGCCAGCAGCCGCGGUAAUUCCAGCUCUAAUAGCGUAUAUUAAAGUUGUUGCAGUUAAAAAGCUCGUAGUUGGACUUUUGGGAAAAUUAAAAGGAUGGUGAAUUAAAAGUUGUUGGGCGUUUAAACGCGUCCGAUGACCGCUAUCCCCCAAUCAUUUAUGUGGGAGGGGGUCAUUCGUUGGGUCUGGAGGUUGUCUGGCUUUGUCGCAAGGCAGGGUCGGGUGGCAAUACCGUCAUGGGUGGCCAUUCCAAACUCUCUCACUUUUUACCUUGAGCAAAUUAGAGUGUUCAAAGCGGGCUUGUUACGCUUGAAUAGUCUAGCAUGGAAUAAUGGAAUAGGACUCGAGUCCUGUUCGUUGGUUUUUUGGGAUUUGAGUAAUGAUUAAUAGGGAUGGUUGGGGCCGUUUGUAUUCCGUUGUCAGAGGUGAAAUUCUUGGAUUUACGGAAGACAAACAUCUGCGAAAGCAUUCGGCAAGCACAUGCUCAUUAAUCAAGAACGAAAGUUAGGGGAUCGAAGACGAUCAGAUACCGUCGUAGUCUUAACCAUAAACUAUGCCGACUCGGGAUCCGCGCGCGUUGAUUUUAUCAAACGACCGUGUGGGCACCGUGUGGGAAACCAUUCAGUGUUUGGGCUCCGGGGGGAGUAUGGUCGCAAGGCUGAAACUUAAAGGAAUUGACGGAAGGGCACCACCAGGAGUGGAGCCUGCGGCUUAAUUUGACUCAACACGGGAAAUCUCACCAGGUCCAGACAUUUUCAGGAAGAUCAGAUUGAAAGCUCUUAUUUGAUUAGAUGGGUGGUGGUGCAUGGCCGUUCUUAGUUGGUGGAGUGAUUUGUCUGGUUAAUUCCGUUAACGAACGAGACCUCAGCCUGCUAAGUAGGGGGCGUGGCUAUUUUGGCCGGCGCUCAAAAUUUACCUUCUUAGAGGGACUAUUUGUGUUUAACGAAUGGAAGUUUGAGGCAAUAACAGGUCUGUGAUGCCCUUCGAUGUUCUGGGCCGCACGCGCGCUACACUGACGAGUCCAACAAGCAUAAGUUUUAUUUUCUCAAGGGUCAGCAAUGAUCUGGGGGCAACCUCUCGCUUUCAUUUCUCGCCUCGGCGGGGGUGGAAGUUGCUUGGGAGAAGAGUCCUGGUCCGAAAGGUCUGGGGAAACUUGCAAGACUCUGUCGUGAUGGGGCUAGCUCCUUGUAAUUAUGGAGCUUCAACGAGGAAUUCCUAGUAAGCGCGAGUCAUCAGCUCGCGUUGAUUACGUCCCUGCCCUUUGUACACACCGCCCGUCGCUCCUACCGAUUGAAUGGUCCGGUGAAAUCUUCGGAUUGUCGAUUGUAGUGGGCAACUGCUGCAAAAUCGCGAAAAGUUGAUUAAACCUUAUCAUUUAGAGGAAGGAGAAGUCGUAACAAGGUUUCC
rnacentral:rRNA from 1 species